rnacentral:rRNA from 1 species
AUUGAACGCUGGCGGCAUGCCUUACACAUGCAAGUCGAACGGCAGCACGGGAGCAAUCCUGGUGGCGAGUGGCGAACGGGUGAGUAAUAUAUCGGAACGUGCCCAGUCGUGGGGAUAACGUAGCGAAAGCUACGCUAAUACCGCAUACGAUCUAUGGAUGAAAGCGGGGGAUCGCAAGACCUCGCGCGAUUGGAGCGGCCGAUAUCAGAUUAGGUAGUUGGUGAGGUAAAGGCUCACCAAGCCGACGAUCUGUAGCUGGUCUGAGAGGACGACCAGCCACACUGGGACUGAGACACGGCCCAGACUCCUACGGGAGGCAGCAGUGGGGAAUUUCCGCAAUGGGCGAAAGCCUGACGGAGCAAUACCGCGUGAGGAGAAUGCCUAUGGGUUGUAAACCUCUUUUUUCUAGGGAGGAAUAAAUGACGUGUACCUGAAGAAUAAG